UACGGGGGGAGCAAGCGUUGUUCGGAUUUACUGGGCGUAAAGGGUGCGUAGGCGGUCGCGUAAGUCAGGUGUGAAAUCCCGGGGCUCAACCCCGGAACUGCACUUGAUACUGCGUGGCUAGGGUACUGGAGAGGAGACUGGAAUUUACGGUGUAGCAGUGAAAUGCGUAGAUAUCGUAAGGAAGACCAGUGGCGAAGGCGAGUCUCUGGACAGUUACCGACGCUGAGGCACGAAGGCCAGGGGAGCAAACGGG
rnacentral:rRNA from 1 species